rnacentral:misc_RNA from 1 species
AACGCACCUUGCGCUCCUUGGUAUUCCGAGGAGCAUGCCUGUUUGAGUGUCAUUUAAUUCUCAACCAUCCCUCGAUUCGUUUCGAGGUUUGGCUUGGAUUUUGGGGGCUGCCGGGCGACCCUAGGGUCUUCGGCUCUCCUUAAAAGCAUUAGCGAUGGUGGAACGAUCUAACUCCAUGCAUGAACGGCCUUCGACGUGAUAAUGAUCGUCGUGGCUGGAGUGCUAGCGGACGUCGUGAAAUUGGCGCUUCUAAAUCUCGUCGAAAGACGAAACUCGAAACUUGACCUCAAAUCAGGUAGGACUACCCGCUGAACUUAA